CCCUGGUGGCGAGUGGCGAACGGGUGAGUAAUAUAUCGGAACGUGCCCUAGAGUGGGGGAUAACUAGUCGAAAGAUUAGCUAAUACCGCAUACGAUCUACGGAUGAAAGUGGGGGAUCGCAAGACCUCAUGCUCUUUGAGCGGCCGAUAUCUGAUUAGCUAGUUGGUGGGGUAAAAGCCUACCAAGGCGACGAUCAGUAGCUGGUCUGAGAGGACGACCAGCCACACUGGGACUGAGACACGGCCCAGACUCCUACGGGAGGCAGCAGUGGGGAAUUUUGGACAAUGGGGGCAACCCUGAUCCAGCAAUGCCGCGUGAGUGAAGAAGGCCUUCGGGUUGUAAAGCUCUUUUGUCAGGAAAGAAAUCCUAUUCGCUAAUACCGAGUGGGGAUGACGGUACCUGAAGAAUAAGCACCGGCUAACUACGUGCCAGCAGCCGCGGUAAUACGUAGGGUGCAAGCGUUAAUCGGAAUUACUGGGCGUAAAGCGUGCGCAGGCGGUUGUGCAAGACAGAUGUGAAUCCCCGGGCUUAACCUGGGAAUUGCAUUUGUGACUGCAUGGCUAGAGUGUGUC
rnacentral:rRNA from 1 species